UAGGGAAUCUUCGGCAAUGGACGAAAGUCUGACCGAGCAACGCCGCGUGAGUGAAGAAGGUUUUCGGAUCGUAAAACUCUGUUGUUAGAGAAGAACAAGGACGUUAGUAACUGAACGUCCCCUGACGGUAUCUAACCAGAAAGCCACGGCUAACUACGUGCCAGCAGCCGCGGUAAUACGUAGGUGGCAAGCGUUGUCCGGAUUUAUUGGGCGUAAAGCGAGCGCAGGCGGUUUCUUUAGUCUGAUGUGAAAGCCCCCGGCUCAACCGGGGAGGGUAAUUGGAAGCUGGGAGACUUGAGUGCAGAAGAGGAGGGUGGAAUUCGAUGUGUAGCGGUGAAAUGCGUAGAUAUAUGGAGGAACACCAGUGGCGAAGGCGGCUCUCUGGUCUGUAACUGACGCUGAGGCUCGAAAGCGUGGGGAGCAAACAGG
rnacentral:rRNA from 1 species